rnacentral:lncRNA from 1 species
UCCCGGGGGCCCAGCGGCGCGCCUGUCACGGCCGCAGGUGGAUUUUUAGUUUCAAACCGUGACAGGGGGGGCGGGCCGACAGGGGGCGCUGUGGUGGUGCGAUAGUGGGUCGUGAUAGUGAGAAGGAGGGCCUUGGUGGUGAUAGGGGGGGACAUGGUGAUAAGGGGGGAUGGGGGGAUGGGGGGGGUCCUGCUGAUAAGGGAGGUCCUGCUGAUGCUGUGCUGAGCCGUGGUGACACCGACACACCUGGGGACACACACAGACAUGGUGGAACAUGGCAAAUGGCGACCAGGGAUGGGGACACCCCCCCCAAUAUGGUGACCCCAGUGGCAAUGACCCCAGUUGACCCCCAUUAUGUUGACCCCCCCCCAUGACAGUGACCCCAGUAAUGGUGACCCCAGGUGACCCCCCCCAAUACGGUGACACCCCCAUGAUGGCGACCCCAGUGACACUGACCCCAGGUGACCCCCCGGUCACAUUCCCCCCCCUGCCGUUGCCCCCCCCGCCCCCCAUUCCCAUACUGCCGUCCCCGUUUGGUCCGUUCCGUUCAGUCCGGUCCUAUGGUUCCGUUCCCGCAGCAGAGCCCUCAGCAGGGCCGGCAGCCCCAUGGAGUCGCACCACGGCUCCCAUAUAGGGCCCUGAUCCCAUAUAGGGCCCUGAUCCCAUAUAGGGCUGUGCUCCCUUAUAGGGCCGUGCUCCCCUAUAGGGCCAUGCUCCCUUAUGGGGCCAUGCUCCUCUAUAGGGCCCUGAUCCCAUAUAGGGCCCUGAUCCCUUAUAGAGCCAUGCUCCCAUAGCCGUCCAUGCUCCACUAUAGGGCCGUGCUCCCCGUUAGCCAUCCGUGCUCCAUUCCCGCCUCCAGCCCCAUCCCCCACCUCCUCUUAAUCCC